rnacentral:rRNA from 1 species
GCUGGCGGCGUGGAUAAGACAUGCAAGUCGAACGGGGUUAGUUUUGUAGCAAUACAAAAUUGACUCAGUGGCGAACGGGUGCGUAACACGUGACUUACUUGCCCAGAAGUGGGGAAUAGCUCGCCGAAAGGCGAAUUAAUACCGCAUGUGAUCGCAAGAUCAAAGCAGCAAUGCGCUUUUGGAUGGGGUCGCGGCCUAUCAGCUAGUUGGUGGGGUAAAAGCCUACCAAGGCAACGACGGGUAGCUGGUCUGAGAGGACGACCAGCCACACUGGAACUGAGACACGGUCCAGACACCUACGGGUGGCAGCAGUCGAGAAUUUUUCUCAAUGGGGGAAACCCUGAAGGAGCGACGCCGCGUGGAGGAUGAAGGCUUUCGGGUUGUAAACUCCUGUCAUUCNNGGAACAAAACUCGCAAGAGCUUGAUAGUACCGGAAGAGGAAGAGACGGCUAACUCUGUGCCAGCAGCCGCGGUAAUACAGAGGUCUCAAGCGUUGUUCGGAUUCAUUGGGCGUAAAGGGCGCGUA